ACAUGCCUACAACCUAGUGUUAAUGCAUUGGAUCGCAUUAGAACUCCAUAGUUAAGCGCGCUUAGGCUAGAGUAGUACUGGGAUGAGUGACCCCCUGGAAAGUCUUAGUAUUUUACAUGCC
rfam:Picea glauca, whole genome shotgun sequence.